CAAGUCGAGCGAAUCUGAGGGAGCUUGCUCCCAAAGAUUAGCGGCGGACGGGUGAGUAACACGUGGGCAACCUGCCUGUAAGACUGGGAUAACUUCGGGAAACCGGAGCUAAUACCGGAUAAUUCUUACCAACACAUGUUGGUAAGCUAAAAGACGGCGCAAGCUGUCACUUACAGAUGGGCCCGCGGCGCAUUAGCUAGUUGGUAAGGUAAUGGCUUACCAAGGCAACGAUGCGUAGCCGACCUGAGAGGGUGAUCGGCCACACUGGGACUGAGACACGGCCCAGACUCCUACGGGAGGCAGCAGUAGGGAAUCUUCCGCAAUGGACGAAAGUCUGACGGAGCAACGCCGCGUGAGUGAUGAAGGUUUUCGGAUCGUAAAACUCUGUUGUUAGGGAAGAACAAGUACGAGAGUAACUGCUCGUACCUUGACGGUACCUAACCAGAAAGCCACGGCUAACUACGUGCCAGCAGCCGCGGUAAUACGUAGGUGGCAAGCGUUGUCCGGAAUUAUUGGGCGUAAAGCGCGCGCAGGCGGUCCUUUAAGUCUGAUGUGAAAGCCCACGGCUCAACCGUGGAGGGUCAUUGGAAACUGGGGGACUUGAGUGCAGGAGAGAAGAGUGGAAUUCCACGUGUAGCGGUGAAAUGCGUAGAGAUGUGGAGGAACACCAGUGGCGAAGGCGACUCUUUGGCCUGUAACUGACGCUGAGGCGCGAAAGCGUGGGGAGCAAACAGGAUUAGAUACCCUGGUAGUCCACGCCGUAAACGAUGAGUGCUAAGUGUUAGAGGGUUUCCGCCCUUUAGUGCUGAAGUAAACGCAUUAAGCACUCCGCCUGGGGGAGU
rnacentral:rRNA from 1 species